CAAUAGCGUAUAUUAAAGUUGUUGCAAUUAAAAAGCUCGUAGUUGGAUUUCUGGUGGGAGCGAUCGGUCUGGCGCUUAGCGCGAGUACUUGCAUCGUCUCCGGCCAUCCUUGGGGGGAGUCUGUCUGGCAUUAGGUUGUCGGGCAGAGGAUCCUCAUCGUUUACUGUGAAAAAAUUAGAGUGUUCAAAGCAGGCUUAUGCCGUUGAAUAUAUUAGCAUGGAAUAAUAAGAUAGGACUUUGGUACUAUUUUGUUGGUUUGCGCACCAAAGUAAUGAUUAAUAGGGACAGUUGGGGGUAUUCGUAUUCCGUUGUCAGAGGUGAAAUUCUUGGAUUUACGGAAGACGAACUACUGCGAAAGCAUUUACCAAGGAUGUUUUCAUUAA
rnacentral:rRNA from 1 species